rnacentral:rRNA from 1 species
UACGGAGGAUGCAAGCGUUAUCCGGAAUGAUUGGGCGUAAAGGGUCCGCAGGUGGUGCUGAAAGUCUGCUGUUAAAGAGUCUAGCUCAACUAGAUAAAAGCAGUGGAAACUACAGGACUAGAGUGCGUUCGGGGCAGAAGGAAUUCCUGGUGUAGCGGUGAAAUGCGUAGAUAUCAGGAAGAACACCGGUGGCGAAAGCGUUCUGCUAGGCCGCAACUGACACUGAGGGACGAAAGCUAGGGGAG